UAAGAUUCUAUUGAGCUCUUCAGUCUUGAGGAAAUCACAGUUUUCUACGAAUCUGAAUCAUAGUGGGUCUUCUGAUGGCUUCAAAGCUAGCAAGGCUGCAUGCACGAGCGUGCGUGCGUGCGUGCUUGAAAAGCUGUUCCAUUUUCAUAGGAUAAGAUGAAGUACAAACAGCAAAACCAGCACAUGUCAAUGAGACUAUUAUAGAAGAAUCUCUUUUGUAUGUAGAAAUACAAAUGAAAAUAAUAGGCUACAAACUCAGGCUUUCAAGUACAUCAAGUAUGGUCCACACUGUUUAUCUCUAAGAGAUCCACAAAAUUUUUCACUAGUGCUUUUCAAUAAUUCUUUUGAAACUUUUACUUUUUUAUGCAUAUACUUUCAGUAUUAACAUCCCCAAAUGGAACGUUUUUGUGGGUGUUUGGGGCCCAAACAGUGCAAUUUAAACUAGUCUUCUACCCACCUGCCUUCAAUCACGUCUUCCUUUUGACCUCUUUUCCCUCCACCAUUCCUCCCUCACAUAUGUAAUAAUAGAGCUGAAUCUGUGAAGAACUGUGAGUUCUCUGGUACAGUCGGUUCUGUUAUUCAAGUAAUAUCUUCAAAUUACAUAGAAGUGGAAAUUAAAAAAAAAUCCCUGCUGUGGAGCUUGCCUUCACUCUAAGACUGUCUCUGAGCUCACAAAGCAUGGGACAUACUGGGAUGAUGCUGGUGGGAUUCUCCUCAGACACAAUGCUCUCAGCCACCUAGAGCCCAAACAUACUCGGUUAACAUUGGUCCAAGUACUUCAUUGUUAGACCCUCAAUUUAGUGUACAUAGACAGAAUACAUAGAUGGCUUCCAUGAUGUGGUAUAAGACAUAUUUCUUGGGUGACACCUGAAUUAACAGAGUCCACUCUCCCCCUUCCCUGCUUAGAUAGCCUUGGAUCAUGAGAGAUGAAUCCAUCAGACACCUCCAAGGCCAGAGAAGAAGACUCUUUGGUUUCUGAUAGGCAUAGCUGUUAGAAUACUAUCUUGUAUAUUUGAGGCAAAACUCUGAGUCUUCAAGACCCAUUUCCAAUCCCCAAUUCUCUUCUCUAGAGUCUAUCCUUCUGUUUGAAGUUCUGUACAUAAAAAUAUUCACAUUUAUUCUAUCUGGUGCUAAAAGUGGCAUAGGCAGAGGAUCAGUUUGGGCUGUCUCCUUUUAUGUCUUGGGGGAUACCCAACUAGUGCACAGAUAAGCAUUGGAAAAGCCAGGAAAAGCUAAAUAUGAAGUUCAUCCUUCUAAAGUGGGAAGGUAUUUGGCUGUUCUCUCGGAAUGACAGGGGUGGGGCGUGGGGGGAGAAUGUAGUUUCUAACCAACUUGGCAAUCAUUUGCCACCAGUUUGAGCCAGGCUUCAGCAAUAUCCCCUGGAAUGUUUGUCCAGAAUCCCCCUCUCCACAAAACCUCGAUCAUUGCUUCUAGGCCACAAAACUCAUCUGUGUGAGGGGCACACUUGUGCUUUACAACAGCUUAGUACUUUCUAUGUUAUCUUAGGGACAGACACUAUACCUCAGUCAUUCUUCCUCCAAUGUUUUUUUGUUUUUGUUUUUGUUUUUGUUUUUGUUUUGUUUGAGCAUUGUUUCUAAGUCAACAGAACCCAUCUUUAUGGGUAAAGCCAGAUACAUUUUGUAAAGCACUUCAAAGGAAACAUGCCUUAAGCUUUGCUGUAUUGAUGUGAUUGAGUCAAUUGUAAUUAUAAAACUUUUUUUCCAAAAUUAUGCUGUGCUGCAUAUUUUUAAAAUAAAUGAACUGAUGUCAGAUUCUUGAAGUUUUGGCCUAGCACCGGUACCUAAGUUGGGCUAAACUGAGUUUCUUUCCUGUCUCUUUGUGAAGCAUUUCUCUGCUUUCCAAAAAGUCUAAAGACUCCCCACAUACCAAUCUUGGGUCUUAUGACUUUAAGUGCUAUCUAUAUCCUCACAACACAUGUGACUCCAUCAUUCCUGAUCUUCAUACUCACGUCCUCUUCUCUCAGACACCACACAGCCAUCUCCAGAUUCCUAAGCCUGCUGCUCCAAAUGGCCAUCUCACUCAGGACAACUGUUAAUGGCAUUCUUCUAGUGUUAAGUCUUUCCUCCUCACCACUCUCUAACCAGCCACCCUCCUUGUUGACUUGAAAGAAGACGUCUGUGCUUUAAAGCUCUGGGCAAGCAUUACUCGGUUUGUUCCACUUUCACUCUAGGUAGUUAUUUUCCAUGAAUGAAUAUAUUGCCUUUAAAGAAACUAUACUAGCUGUUUCUAUUUUAGCGUAUCAAACUUACUUUCUCACGUACCAUGCCCCUAUAUCUUCCAUAUUAUGAGUAUUUAUGUUCAAGAAAUGUAGACAAUUGAUUAGCUUUCUUUGCUGAUAGCUACAGGACUCUCAUUGGUUAGCUUCUCCACUGGGAUGUUCUUUCCCCAGGGUCUCCAUUGUUAGCUCUCUCUUACACCUUUCAAGUAUUUAUUCACAUAUUUGAUUCUUACAUGUGCCCAGCCUUACAUAUUCCCAAUACCAUUUUUCAUUACCAGUUCAUCUGAUAAAGAUGUUCUGGGACAUAUCCCACCUCAGGGAGAAGGAAGGCUACGGUCAGAGGAGAGGUGUAUUUGUGUACACUCUCCAACCUGCUUAUUGCAUCCUUGGUCUUCCUUUCUCUCUCCCUCCCACUGAUCAUGGGAACUCUAGCAUGACCCAUAGCCAGUGCAGUAGAAAGCAAUAAGCGGCACAAAUGAGAGUUUACUGUGUGCUUAACUCAUUUUGAUUUUUAAAGAUUCCAUUGUAAAAUAGAAGUCAUCUCUGUGUUUGAUUAAUACUUGGGUGAGAUUGUUCCUUACUUGGUGACAUGGCCAGUGUCACUUAGAUCCUUCAAUUUCAGUGUAGGUAGUUAUUUUUCAUGAAUGAAAAUACUGUCUUUAAAGAAACUAUACUAGCUGUUUCUAUUUUAGGUUAUCAAACUUAUUUUCUUAACAAUAACAUCCCUGUAUCGUCCAUAUUAGUGAGUAUAUACAGUAAAGAAAUAUAGACAAUUGGUUAACUUUCUUUGGCGAUAGCUGCAGGACUCUCAUUGGUUAGCUUCCUUUGGUGAUAGCUACGAGACUCUUUCCUGAUGCACUGUAGAUGAUUUACAAAUUGUAUUGAGCUUUGGCAGAGUGAACUUUCUAGGUUAUUUUUCAAGGGGCUAUGUAAAAUUGUCAAAGAAGUUUUUAAAAAAUUAAAAAGUAGCAAUGUGGCUAUUUCAUGGACUUAUCAUGCUAUGCAUGGACCAGAGCUGAAGACAGAGAGUGUUCUGUCACACCUAUCAAGUGACAUCUUUUAAAUUGUAACCUUUCUCAGUGCUGGGAAUCAAACCCAGUGCUUUACCUACGCUAGGAAAGUUAUGUAUCGCCAAGCUACAUCCUCAGCUCCAAGGAACGGUGUCUACAAAGCACACUGAAGCAUCAGGCUUACCUGAUUAUUCAAACAAGCCCUCUAAGCGAUGAAGCAAGAUGAAGAGAUGCCUCUUCUUCAGAAGGUAUCAGUUUUAGGUCCUCAAACGUGAUAGUGUGUGUGCGCGUUUCAUUGUACACACAAAUGUACAAAGGAAAGUAAACCACUCUGCUUUUAAACUUGUUAAAAUAUUAAACUACAAUUUAACCAUUUUUUUUUCCUUCAGGCUGUAAAAAAUAUCAGAAACCUAUACUCCUAAGAGUUAUUCAAACAGGCAUGAAUUCCUUGGAACAGCCUGUCAGGACCCAGUGUUCUCUUUUAAAAGCUCACUGACUCCUAUAAGCCAAGACCGGUGUAUGCUAGAACACAAUGGUGUUGGUGGGACAGAUAUUAAGCCUGUUUUUGUGAGCCAACCUACUUCCUAGUCUGCUGGCAUCCUGUUUUAUGCGCAGCCAUAGCCAACUUUGUAGGAAAAGCUUUCUAUAUAACACCAUGUUUACCUAGUUAAAAAAACAACAAAACAAAACACAAACAAACAAACAAAAAACAAAAAACAUGGCAGUACAAUCUUUAUUUGGAAAUCUAACUGGGUCUUCGAAAGGUUUUACAAGAUUUCUCUACCGUUUACUUUUAUAGUUUAACUUGUAAAAGUCUAUUCUGCAUUCCCAGAACUGACUAUUCAUAUCCAGAAAACUUGAAACUCUUGAUAAUUAUCACAAAGCAAAAAGUCCAAAGAUCAGUGCUUGUUAAAGAGAAAAAGUAAAUCAAACGAAAGAGUUCUUCCAGAAAUGAUGUUUUUCCAAAGGCCUCAGACCAAAUUCUCAAAUAAUAGCACUUACUAAAGUAAGAUAGAGAAGUUGUAAGAUCUGAUUAAAGAGGUUAAUAUUUUUGUAUUAACAGUUAAGUGGUGAUAAAAUGGUUAAUUCCAUUUUUUUCAGUGCUGGGGAUUGAAACCAUAGCCUUGCACGAACUAGACAUACAUUAAUGUAGAUGGGAAGUAAGCCCGUGUGUCCUGCCCCAAGGGUCAGAUUAAUGCUAGGCCUUCCUCGGUUGGGGAUUUUUUUUUUUCAGAGCACGAAGCAGAAGGUAAGGAACUCUUGUUUAUAUGGUGUCCAUGCAUUCAUUACGCCUCUCACACGCCAUUGGUUGAAGACGUGCAUUUAGCCACCUACAUUUACAAGUACUGAUCUUUUUUUGAUAACACGUUCACUUGUGGUAAUGCAAAACAAGGAUUGAAUGUAGUGUGCCACAAUGUAGAGGGCAUUUCUAAUGUCAAGACAGUCAUAGUUGGAAUGUAUGGUAUAAUUAAUAGUCCUCUAUAUACAGCAGCUCCCAGAAUAUUAUUUACAGGAAUAGGUGUCUCUGGAGUUGCCAAUAGCUUUACAUAUAGUAGCAGCUCAUUCAUUAGUUGUUCAUAAUUAGCUCCAUUUUGGUUUAAAUAGAAGCACAACACACACUAGCCAGUACUCAAGCCUGCAAAUGGGAAAACAUUGCUAUGCUCAUGGGAUAAGCAUGUGGGACGUUUUUAUGUAUUAAUAUUUCAACUGAAUUAUGCCAACAGGGCUGUCUCAGAAAAUAAUGAGAGCCUGGCAAAUGUUGAAAGAAAAUAAAUUCUUAACAGCUUCUGGGCUCUGAAAAUAGAAUUUGAAUAAGGACAGAAGUGCAAAUAUAAAAUAUGAAUAUACAUGGCUUAAUUAACUAAGCUUAUGAAUAAAUUAGGUGAUUGAUAUCAGACAGAAAUACCCUUUUACUUAGCCCACUGCCACAUUGGUCUCUUCCAUACUUUUAAUCCCCUCUUUUUGUGAUUGGCAUGAUAGUUAAUAUCACAUAAAUUACAUUGUAGCAUGUUUAUCAAGCACUAAGACUUCAUAUAACAUAUAUUGAUACCUAUGCUUGUUUUUUUCUCCACUGAAGAGGUAUUGAGAAGGUGCUAAAAACUUAAUAGGCCACUUCAGAAUGCUAGUCAUUGGUUUCCUUUGUCUGGGGCAUAAAUCAAUAUUUUCCAGCCUGGAAUUUUGUUUUGAACAUGUACAUUUCUUAGGAAAUAAUGACUAUUUACUUAAGCAGGAUGUAUCUAUAGUUUUUCUUUGGUAAUUUUCUUACAAAACAAAUCCUCUCUUAUUAACAGUGCUGGGCAAAGGUUCCAAGAAUAAGACCAAGUGGGUAGCUUUUCCUAUUUUUAUUUCCUGAGAUAUGACAGAUGGUGUAACAUAAACACUUGCUCUCUCAGAGGAUGUAAUUUGGAAAGCCUUCCAUUAAAAUUGGAACCAUGCACCAGAGAAUAACUGACCUUGGAUGUAACCACCCUUACAACACACAUAGCUCAUCCUUCUCCUCUCCUCCCAACUGCAUGGUUGCUAGGCACCUCCAUCAGCUAACAUAAAGUCUCUGGAUUAUCAAUAUUAGAUUUUUGUACAGUUUUUAUAUUUUUGACAUCAUUAAUGGGUCCCAUUGGGGGUAUGCAUGAUUUCUCAUUCAUACUAACAAAUACAGAGCUUCUACCAUCUAGCCCUUCAGCCUCAAGAAGCAAUAACCUUCUCCCUUAGUCAUCUCAGAGAAAGAUGGUGGGUAAUUGGGAAUCACCAUAGCUUCUAGACCACACACAGAGAAGAUGGGAGAGAGAGAGACAGAGAGACAGAGAGACAGAGACACAGAGAGACAUAGAGGCACAAAUGUACCAUAAAAGAGCCAAUCCUAAACUCUUCACACAGCUUUGCUUUGUGCUUUGAUUUUUUCCUCGGAAAUACUGGCAAAGGCCAGUGCCUGAUCCUGGCCUUACUAAUGCCUUUCACAUCUUGAGCAUCUGCUUUCUUUCCUAUGUCAUCUUAGGGCACAUCUUAUAAUAAUCUGUCAUGUUCAUGCUCUUUAGAACCUGGAGUACCUUCCUUUCCCAAGCUCCUCCUCAGUGCUGUCUGGCAGCUGCACUGGGUUAUUAUGCCAUAAAAUGUUACUUCCAUGCAAAGUCAUGUUCUCUACUGCACAAUAAGGAUUCUCUCCAGUCUUCCACUUUGGCUUCAUCCUUGAUGCAUUCUAUAAAUGGGCAAUUUCCCUUCUAUCUACUUAUUCAUGGAAGAACACAGCCCAAAUUGAUGACAGAUUUUAUCUGUGGUCAAGGAGAAUGAUGUAAAUUGAGAAAAAUCCUGGAAUUAUGGUUUAGAUGAUUUCUGAUUGGCCUCACUUUAAAAAGCAGAUGAUUGUAAGCACUAAUUUUGUAAUUGAAUUGUUUUCUCAAUUUGAAGUCCUGCAGGUUGCUUUUGGUUUAGGUUAUCUGCUUCCUGUGCCCUGGUCACAAUGAUCUCUGGUUUUUUUCUUAGUCUCUGUGCUGCCAUAUAAAGUUGGAUAUUGCCUUCUCCACCCUAAAGCAGUAUUCCAGCGCACUUCCUUUAGGUCAAGAAAUUAUAUAGGUAAAUAUACAUUUAUAUACAAUUUGAACCUUGCCUUUUAGAUAUGAACAUAUUGACCUUACUCUUGUUCAAAUAUAUUGCAAACCUGCCCAGCCUUUAUGAUAGUAAUUCCAUAUUUUUUUCCAGCACUUCAGAAUCUACAAAGCACCAUUUUCCCCUUUGAGCUCCCAAAAUAGUCCCCUGAGGUAAGCAGCCAUUUUCGCUACUUUCAUCUCUUUCCAUUACAGCAAAUGACUCCUUUCCUGGUGAGCUGCUAUUGUGGCAGAAAAAGAGGAUCAAUCACUCUUGGCCUCUCAGAUCCCUCCUUCCCCGUUACACAUACUCUAGGGCAAUAUGCAUGUGUGAUAAUAAUAAUAAUAACAAUAAUAAUAAUAAUAACAAUAGAAAUCAGGUUACCAUUGUAAGUUGACAGUAUCUACUAAUGAACCCAUUUAUGUCAAGGACAAUACAGUAAAUAGUGUUUUCGCAAUGAUAUCUGAACUGAAUUAAGAGUGGGUCAACUAUUUUCCCCAAGGAGAAGCUAUUUAUAGUUUUGUGAUUAAAAGGCAGGAAACAGUAUUGACAAUAGCUUUCUGAUUUCGCUGCUUUCUAAAUCUUUUCCCUUCAAAUUCACUUGUUAUGUGUCAAGGUAUUUAUAAAACACAGCCUUGGUUUCAAAAUAUUGUCCUGAUUCAAAGCCUUUGUCAAGUCACCAUUCCUAAUACAUUCCUUAGCAAUACAGAUUCUUUUAAAGCACUUUUAUUUUUAAUUAUCUGUUUAUGUGUGUACAUUGUGUGUGUGUGUGUGUGUGUGUGUGUGUAUGUGUGUGUGUGUGUGUGUGUAGGUGUUCAUGUGAGAACAUAUAUAGUCAUUUAUAAUAUAUGCACCCUGCCUGUCUAAAUCCACCUGCCUCUAUGUCCCAAGGACUCCAUGUCCCAGCUGUCAAAGUAACAGACAGCUCUGAACUGGCCAGGCACUACCACCCCUCUAGGAAUCUGUUCUUCCUGCACCCACUGAGAGUGCACAUGGACACCUCUCUACAGAACUUCCAUUUCCCUUCAUUAUAGAGUGGAAAUGUCUCUCUAAUGUACCUCAAACCAAAGUUAGUACUCUGCCUCUGCUGAAUCCCUGAGUCCUUGACUCAGAUAAAUAUAGAAAUUGCCACAGGGAACCUUGAUUUACUUCUUUGGUAGCCCAUGAAAUUUUGAAGAGCCCAACAUAUUGUGUUUAUGCCUGUGACUUGAGAGGUUAACACAGAGUCUAUUACACAGUUAAUAUCCAGUGUUCCUUUUAUUGAUGAAUGAAUUAGUCCUUCUUACAAUGACUGUUUUGUGUGCCGAAAGAAAAAACCAUUCUCUUGGCUCUUCUUAUGUCCCUGAGAGGAUGUAACUUGUGUGCAGUUGUUCAACUCUUUUUUUUUUUUUUUUAGAUUUAUUUAUUUAUUAUAUGUAAGUACACUGUAGCUGACUUCAAACACACCAGAAGAGGGCAUCAGAUCUCAUUAUGGAUGGUUGUGGGCCACCAUGUGGUUGCUGGGAUUUGAAUUCAGAACCUUUGGAAGAGCAGUCAAGUGCUCUUACCCACUGAGCUAUCUCAUCAGCCCAGUUGUUCAACUCUUGUAGAAUUGUUUUGACCAACUCAUCUCCUGGCCAUAUUUACUGUUUUAUAGUAAACAAUAACUAUCACAUUGUUCAUCAUUUUCUUUCUUAAGGGCAAUCUUCAUUAGCUUUUCUCAUUUUUCUCUUAAGUGUUCAGUCAUUUAUCCAGUAAUUACUGAUGAUAAACAGACGAUCAUAUUUGGUACAACUAAAUUCAGUCCCCCCACAGUCUUGGACAUGUGUAGGCAUGAAGGAAAUACAGGAGGACAAAUAGGAACUUAUGAAUUAUUGUAGGCAGAAAUAGAAUAUACGAUACAAGUAGGAGGAAAGGACCCAAGGGGCAUUGUCAGAAAAUAGUUCUAAGGGAAACAAACCCCGUGAGAAUAAACCCACAAGCGGCCUCCAGCAAACUGCACAGUGCAACUUUCUCAUGCUCUUAUCCCAGUAUAUGAACCUUGCUUUUUUAGCCUAUGGCAGAGGGAAUGAAUCGCUUAAUCCAAACUCAUUCUUUUUUAAAAAUAAAGACAUUUAUUUUUAUGAGUACUGUAUCUGCAUAUACACCUAUAUGCCAGAAGAGGGCAUCAGAUAGAUGGUUGUGAGCCACCAUGUAGUUGCUGGGAAUUGAACCCAGGACCUCUGGAAGAGCAGCCAGUGCCCUUAACCACUGAAUGAGUCAUCUCUCUAGCCCCCAAACACAUCCUUAAUGCUAAGGCCUAAAUGUCUGUGUUGACUCAGAUAUUAAUGUAAUGAUAUCUUUAUUUCCUUCAAGGUGACAGAUUUAGGAAGCGGGGUCUUUGCUGUGAGAUCAGUUCGUCACAGAGAAGCCCACAUGAAUAGACUUAGCACCUAUAGAGGAGGCUCAAGAGAAGCAUCGAGUCUGUUGCUCUGGGAAGACAAACCAUCUGGCACUAUCUAACAGAAAGCAGGACCCUUGCCAGGAAACUAAUCAGCCAAUUUCCUGAUCUCAGAUGGUUCAGCUUUCAGAAUGGGGAGAAAUAAGUAUCUGCUGCUUAACACAGAAAUGAGGUCUGAUUUCCAGGAGCCAACUUGAACUGUGAGACAGGGACAGAGAGUCCUUGACACUGAGUGAUGAAGUGAUAUAUCUGAAGUUUUAGACAGCGACAUGGUGUGUGGUGGUGGCUCUCCCAGAAUAACUGUGAAGCUGAAACAGGAGGUCCACCACAAGUUUGAGGCCAACAUGGACUGCAAAAUGAGCUGGAAACCAGCCUGAUACACAGAGUAAUAACUUCUCUCAAAACAGCAAGAAAGACAAACUAAAAACCGAACAUGUAAACCAAGUCAUUUCACAA